GACAGAGGGUGCAAACGUUGUUCGGAUUUACUGGGCUUAAAGAGUUCGUAGGCGGCGCAGAAAGUAGGGUGUGAAAGCCCUCGGCUCAACCGAGGAAUUGCGCUCUAAACUACUGUGCUCGAGGAACCUAGAGGUGAGCAGAACUGAUGGUGGAGCGGUGAAAUGCGUUGAUAUCAUCAGGAAUACCGGAGGCGAAGGCGGCUCACUGGGGGUUUUCUGACGCUGAGGAACGAAAGCCAGGGGAGCGAACGGG
rnacentral:rRNA from 1 species